CCUACGGGAGACAGCAGUGGGGAAUAUUGGGCAAUGGGCGCAAGCCUGACCCAGCAACGCCGCGUGAAGGAAGAAGGCUUUCGGGUUGUAAACUUCUUUUCUCAGGGACGAAGAAAGUGACGGUACCUGAGGAAUAAGCCACGGCUAACUACGUGCCAGCAGCAGCGGUAAUACGUAGGUGGCAAGCGUUAUCCGGAUUUAUUGGGUGUAAAGGGCGUGUAGGCGGGAGCGCAAGUCAGAUGUGAAAACUCAGGGCUCAACCCUGAGCCUGCAUUUGAAACUGUGUUUCUUGAGUGCUGGGGAGGCAAUCGGAAUUCCGUGUGUAGCGGUGAAAUGCGUAGAUAUACGGAGGAACACCAGUGGCGAAGGCGGAUUGCUGGACAGUAACUGACGCUGAGGCGCGAAAGCGUGGGGAGCAAACAGGAUUAGAUACCCGUGUAGUC
rnacentral:rRNA from 1 species